GCUCUCUCUACUACAGCCACCACACCAUCCAUUGAUGGUUUAUCACACCAUUGAUGAACAAUACCAAAACUGCCAGUUAUGGCCACCAUAGAAAUAUAAAAGAAUAUAUUUAUAUAUAUGGGGUUAAAGAAAAUUUCAUAUGCUCACAAUGCAUGCUUUUCUGCAUCACUUCUGGAAAACUUUGAAGUAUGAAAUUUUUCUGAAUGAAAAAAAGUUAGCAAGAAAUAUUCCAAAUUUCUCAAGUUCACAAUGACCUUCGGGGGGACAAAAAAACUUAAAAAUAUUUUGCACUUGUUUGUAGUAAUAAUUAAUAAAGAGUGCUUAGCGUCCAGAUGUGAAACAUGGCACUCUAUGUGAUUUCUAUGUGAUUUUAAUCAUUGCAGCCAAAUAACAAAAGAAAAAUCAUUCUCCCAAAAUUAUUUUUCAAUUAAAUAUUUUCCAUAAUUCUACAAAAAAAAUUCAGCCAAACAUUGGAAAAAUAUUUUUACAUUAUGAGAUAUAAAAAUUUUUCAAUUAAAUAUUUUCCAUA
rnacentral:misc_RNA from 1 species